rnacentral:rRNA from 1 species
GGGCCAGACUCCUACGGGAGGCAGCAGUGGGGGAUAUUGCACAAUGGGGGAAACCCUGAUGCAGCGACGCCGCGUGGGCGAAGAAGUAUUUCGGUAUGUAAAGCCCUAUCAGCAGGGAAGAAGAAAUGACGGUACCUGAGUAAGAAGCACCGGCUAAAUACGUGCCAGCAGCCGCGGUAAUACGUAUGGUGCAAGCGUUAUCCGGAUUCACUGGGUGUAAAGGGAGCGUAGACGGCCAUGCAAGCCAGGGGUGAAAGCCCGGGGCCCAACCCCGGGACUGCCCUUGGAACUGCAUGGCUGGAGUGCGGGAGGGGCAGGCGGAAUUCCUGGUGUAGCGGUGAAAUGCGUAGAUAUCAGGAGGAACACCGGCGGCGAAGGCGGCCUGCUGGACCGCGACUGACGUUGAGGCUCGAAAGCGUGGGGAGCGAACAGGAUUAGAUACCCUUGUACG